UGGGGAAUAUUGGACAAUGGGCGCAAGCCUGAUCCAGCCAUGCCGCGUGAGUGAUGAAGGCCUUAGGGUUGUAAAGCUCUUUCGCUAGGGAAGAUAAUGACGGUACCUAGUAAAGAAGCCCCGGCUAACUUCGUGCCAGCAGCCGCGGUAAUACGAAGGGGGCUAGCGUUGUUCGGAAUCACUGGGCGUAAAGCGCGCGUAGGCGGAUUGUUAAGUUAGAGGUGAAAUCCCGGAGCUCAACUCCGGAACUGCCUUUAAUACUGGCAAUCUAGAGAUCGAGAGAGGUGAGUGGAAUUCCUAGUGUAGAGGUGAAAUUCGUAGAUAUUAGGAAGAACACCAGUGGCGAAGGCGGCUCACUGGCUCGAUACUGACGCUGAGGUGCGAAAGCGUGGGGAGCAAACAGGAUUAGAUACCCCCGUAGUCC
rnacentral:rRNA from 1 species